rfam:Oryza punctata chromosome 10, whole genome shotgun sequence.
UUUAAGUGCAGUUGUGGAUUUUCGUGUCCAACGUUUUACCGUCCGUCUUAUUUGAAAUAUUUUUACGAUUAGUAUUUUUAUUGUUAUUAGAUGAUAAAACAUGAAUAGUAUUUUAUGCGUGACUUCUUAUUUUUUAUUUUUUUCAUAAAUUUAUCAAAUAAGAUAGAUGGUCAAAUGUUGGACACUGAAACCUACAACUGUACUCAAG